CAGCAGCCGCGGUAAUACGUAGGGUGCAAGCGUUAAUCGGAAUUACUGGGCGUAAAGCGUGCGCAGGCGGUUUGUUAAGACAGAUGUGAAAUCCCCGGGCUCAACCUGGGAGCUGCAUUUGUGACUGGCAAGCUAGAGUCUGGCAGAGGGGGGUGGAAUUCCGCGUGUAGCAGUGAAAUGCGUAGAUAUGCGGAGGGACACCGAUGGCGAAGGCGGCCCCCUGGGCCAACACUGACGCUCAUGCACGAAAGCGUGGGGAGCAAACAGGAUUAGAUACCCCAGUAGUCCCUGUCUCUUAUAC
rnacentral:rRNA from 1 species